AUCCAUCUGCAGCAUAAACGCCUUCUCAUGUCCAGAUGUGUUAUCUACUGACCUCUACACUCAACCAGCUCUUUUUCAGAAUUGGCUUCAAUCUUCCAGGAAGAAUCCAGAAAAUGAAUGAACCCGAGCCGCACUGCUGUACGUGAUUACAGAGGCAGUAUGUCACUGGUUUUUGAUCCAGGCUUCAGAAAUCAGGCCUCAGAAGACAUUACUAAACCAGCUGGACCACACGCCUCCUCUGAUGGAGAUCCGUCAGAUGCAAAGCCAAAACAUUGCACGUUUAAGUUGACAUGUAAGAGAGAACAAAUGAACCCUGGAUCAGCCAGAAGCAGUGUUUGAUCCUGCUGCUGCCUUCAAGUCCUCCUGAUGAACACACAUCUCGUCACAGGUCUCUCUUCACUCUACUGUGUGUAUCCUGAUCCUCUCUACACGUUCAAGCAGAAUCUAUUCAUACACCACACACAGAGGUAAAUCCAGACAUCACCAAAACCGUCACGGCCAACCUUGCGAAGCCUGUCGAAGUUCAAACAGCAGAUUUGGACAGAGCUUAUCCUCGACAGAGCAGCAGAUUUGCAUUUUGAGCCGUAAAGUUUGGGAGGUAAACAUGAUGUUUUCUCGCUGUCGUAAUCCCGUUACACUGACGCUCAGUCACAUUAGUCAUCCUGAGAUAUAGAGGAGUGUCAUGUGAGGAAAACUCAUAUAGCACCCGUGACUAAUCGCUCUAUAGUCAAAACCUCGCUGAAUUCAACAAGCUCGCUCAAUUACACCCUCCGUCAAUGUCAAACCUCAGCUCCUGAUGAAUGCCACGGCUGACGCGCACUUUUACAGAGGAGCUUCACGAAGCAUCGGGACGGCUCUAUCGGCAAACAAAAUCUGGGCAUUUAUUUAUUUAUACAGGUUUAUAUUUUGCUGAUGCACCACAGUCAAGCUCUGAAGGUCUGAGAUGGUUUGAUAUCUAUUUAUAAUCGGCUUCAUUCACAAUCAUGCAACUACAAUCUGGAUUCGCACACGGUGUUGGUGCUGUAAGGAGCUCACAACGUCUGAGAACUAUUAAUAACAGACUUUUAAUAGAUCCAUAAGAGGAAAUAAGACAGGGCAAAGAAACUCAGGAGAACACAGAGCUUAAGAGAACGGAGACAAACGAGAUAAUUAGUAAAACACAGGUGGAAACGAAUGUACUAAUCAGAACAGAAGAAAACAGAAACAUUGACUAGACAUGUUAUACAUAGAAGUGGAUUAAACAUUUAUUGAUAUGCAAUGCAAAUAAAAACAGAUGAAUGCACAUGUGUCUCUAGGGUUAUAUUUGAAACAAUACAAUGUAUGGGUCAAAAUUAUCGAUUUUUCUUUCAUGCAAUAAAUCAAAUCAAAUUAAGUAAAGGGUUAUUUUAAUAAUUUCUGCUAUUUUUUUUUUGUUUUGUUGACUAUAUGUGAACAUCGUAUGUCAGACAUCUUACUUGGGACAGUACUAAAUAAAA